UGACAGAGCCAGCGAGUAUUUCCUUGACCGGAAGGUCCGGGUAAUCUUGUUAAACUCUGUCGUGCUGGGGAUAGAGCAUUGCAAUUAUUGCUCUUCAACGAGGAAUCCCUAGUAAGCGCAAGUCAUCAGCUUGCGUUGAUUACGUCCCUGCCCUUUGUACACACCGCCCGUCGCUACUACCGAUUGAAUGGCUCAGUGAGACCUCCGGACUGGCCCAGAGAGGUGGGCAACUACCACUCAGGGCCGGAAAGUUGUUCAAACUCGGUCAUUUAGAGGAAGUAAAAGUCGUAACAAGGUCUCCGUUGGUGAACCAGCGGAGGGAUCAUUA
rnacentral:rRNA from 1 species